rnacentral:ribozyme from 13 species
UUCUUUCUCCUUUUCUUUUUGUUUUUCUUUUUCUUUUUCUUUUUC